CAGGGCUCAGUAUAUCUCCUACAUUCUGGGCUUGGUUUGUAGUUAAAAGGGAGAUUUUUUUUAAUCUAUAAAUGGAUCUCAUUUGAUGUGAAAUUGCUGAAGGGUGAUAGCCAUAGGGUGCCACCAUGGCAUUGUUUGGACUCACAAUUCAGGGCAGAACCAUGCUUCAAAGAAAUGUCUCUGCGUGUGGAUCUCCCGACCAGGGUGACGUGGAGUAAUAAACGGCCAUCACAUUUGCUCACCACUGACUGUGUUGGACUGGAGCGUGGUUCUGAGUGCUUCUUUUCUGAGCAUUGCUUCCCUGGCUAACCCUGACCCGGUGUUCCGCAUUGCUCUGCUUCCCAUGUAAUUCUGAUGACCUGGAAAGGAGACCUCACGUUCGUUAUACCGACGAUGUAGUUAAUUAAGACUGUUUACGGGUGAUGCUAACAAAGGGCCCGAUCACUGUAUUAAGAUAGCAGGGGGUCAAUAACAGUGUUGCCUGCCUGAGCGCUCUGGAACUGAGCUCAGAGCUAGCUGGCUGGUUUUACUGUUGCUGCUCUGGCUUUCUGCCUGAUGAGGGUUGCUGGCUGUAUGGGAUGGGGUUUCCUCUUGGAGGAGAUGCAGUGUUAAGACACUGCAUGAAGUCAUGUCUCCUCCUGAGCUCUCGUCUUACAGCCCUUUAAGCACACCAGCAGGAAAGUCUCAGGGAGUUCUCCGCUGUAUGUGCUGUGCUCCAUCCAAAGCACUCGUUGACCCAAGUAUUGUCCAUUAAAAGGCUCUCCCAUGUUUACUGCUACUUCAAGCCCCUGAUCCUUGUUCCAGAUCCUUAUUGUACUAGCUACUCUACACACAGUCCCUGCCCCAGACAGCUCAGCCUAGAACUUAGGCAACAGGUGUGAAUAAGCUGACCCCCAGAGGAGGGUGAGUUAAUGGUAGAGACAGGGGCUCUUGCAUAAAUCAAGUCUCAGGCAAACUCUUUCUCUUCUAAAUCACUUAAACCUCGAUCAAACAAGGCACUGAGAGCAGAGCUGGGCCUAAAAUAAUCAAAGUUGAGCAAAUCCCCCAAUGUUAUGCAUCCACAACCUAGGAUAGGAUAUGACCCCACGGUGACCUAAGUGAUGCCUUUGAGCUCUAAGAUGGCUUCCACCUUUGGCCUCAUUGACCUGUAAGAUAAUUGCUCCCACCCUAUUGUUUUAGCCUUCCAAAGACCUAUUUAAGGGUUGUGUGAGGUUUCUUUUGCUUGGUGUGUCUUAAAUAGAGCUGGUUGGGAACUUACUGAUGAGACUUUUUUUUUUUCUGAUUCGUCCAAGUUGAAUUCUUGCAAAGAUGGGUUGGAUUCCAUGCAACUUUCAUUGGGAAGGUCUGUCAGGUCCAGGAUGGAAUGUCUGCUCAAAACGAGAGCUCCGCCCUCUGCCAAUUAGCCAAUAGCAUAGUGGUUAGAGAAACAACUUUGGAAGUCCGCUUUUUAUCCUGAUGUGGAAUGAGACCAAAUGCUGUGCUGGAACCUCUAAAGCUUUGGUGAAACACAACCCUUGUUUGCCAACCAGCCUUCUCUUUAAAUGUGCCUGUAACACAUUAACCUAGAAAAUUCUUUUCUACAAGGCUAAUAAAACACACCAUCUAGAAAGCACCGGCUGUAGGAGAGAGAAGGUAAUUCUAUUGAUUGAAGAUAGUUAUUAAGCGAGGCUGCAAUUUGGCUCUUCAGAAGUGACAGCCAAUGAACACUCUGAUUGCCCAGCACCCUGCAGUUAGAAGAUAGACACAGCAAAUCCAUUUAAGUAGUGCUAGAUCUGAUAUUUACAAAUGACUUAAAUGUUACCAAGGAACUUUUCAGCCACCUGACACUCCUUUUCAUUGCUCUUCUGAAAAAGUCACAUAGUCCCAGUCCUUUGAGGCUGGGUGUACUGGAACCCAUCAUAAACCAAACUGCAAAUAAAAAUGUGAAGUGCUGGAGAUGGCAAAGGGGAGAAUGAGCCGCUCACAAAGCAAGGAGCAGAAAUCAAUCUGGCUUCUUCAAAGGAGAGUUGUAGCCUUGAAGGCAAUUGUGCGUUAAAGCCAAUAAUAGAUGUUUUUCUAACAGCUGUUAACAACAAUAGAAGGACCUGGGAAUAAAUAGAGCUGGAUCAAUUCUUCAUAGGAAAUGCUUAACCUAACAAAUUAUGCUGCUUUUUCUGCUGACUCUUCCAUGAGAAGAUUGCAAAC